rnacentral:snRNA from 1 species
GUGCUCGCUUCAGCAGUACACAUACUAAGAUUGGAACAAUACAGAGAAGACUAGCACAGCCGCUACAUGCGGAUGACACACAAAUUCAUGAAGCAUUCCGUAUUUUU